AUGAACGCUAGCUACAGGCUUAACACAUGCAAGUCGAGGGGCAGCAUGGUCUUAGCUUGCUAAGACUGAUGGCGACCGGCGCACGGGUGAGUAACACGUAUCCAACCUGCCGUCUACUCUUGGACAGCCUUCUGAAAGGAAGAUUAAUACAAGAUGGCAUCAUGAGUCCGCAUGUUCACAUGAUUAAAGGUAUUCCGGUAGACGAUGGGGAUGCGUUCCAUUAGAUAGUAGGCGGGGUAACGGCCCACCUAGUCUUCGAUGGAUAGGGGUUCUGAGAGGAAGGUCCCCCACAUUGGAACUGAGACACGGUCCAAACUCCUACGGGAGGCAGCAGUGAGGAAUAUUGGUCAAUGGGCGAGAGCCUGAACCAGCCAAGUAGCGUGAAGGAUGACUGCCCUAUGGGUUGUAAACUUCUUUUAUAAAGGAAUAAAGUCGGGUAUGCAUACCCGUUUGCAUGUACUUUAUGAAUAAGGAUCGGCUAACUCCGUGCCAGCAGCCGCGGUAAUACGGAGGAUCCGAGCGUUAUCCGGAUUUAUUGGGUUUAAAGGGAGCGUAGAUGGAUGUUUAAGUCAGUUGUGAAAGUUUGCGGCUCAACCGUAAAAUUGCAGUUGAUACUGGAUAUCUUGAGUGCAGUUGAGGCAGGCGGAAUUCGUGGUGUAGCGGUGAAAUGCUUAGAUAUCACGAAGAACUCCGAUUGCGAAGGCAGCCUGCUAAGCUGCAACUGACAUUGAGGCUCGAAAGUGUAAGUAUCAAACAGGUUUAGAUACCCUGGUAGUCCACACGGUAAACGAUGAAUACUCGCUGUUUGCGAUAUACAGCAAGCGGCCAAGCGAAAGCGUUAAGUAUUCCACCUGGGGAGUACGCCGGCAACGGUGAAACUCAAAGGAAUUGACGGGGGCCCGCACAAGCGGAGGAACAUGUGGUUUAAUUCGAUGAUACGCGAGGAACCUUACCCGGGCUUAAAUUGCAGAUGAAUUACGGUGAAAGCCGUAAGCCGCAAGGCAUCUGUGAAGGUGCUGCAUGGUUGUCGUCAGCUCGUGCCGUGAGGUGUCGGCUUAAGUGCCAUAACGAGCGCAACCCUUGUUGUCAGUUACUAACAGGUUCUGCUGAGGACUCUGACAAGACUGCCAUCGUAAGAUGUGAGGAAGGUGGGGAUGACGUCAAAUCAGCACGGCCCUUACGUCCGGGGCUACACACGUGUUACAAUGGGGGGUACAGAGGGCCGCUACCACGCGAGUGGAUGCCAAUCCCCAAAACCUCUCUCAGUUCGGACUGGAGUCUGCAACCCGACUCCACGAAGCUGGAUUCGCUAGUAAUCGCGCAUCAGCCACGGCGCGGUGAAUACGUUCCCGGGCCUUGUACACACCGCCCGUCAAGCCAUGGGAGCCGGGGGUACCUGAAGUGCGUAACCGCGAGGAGCGCCCUAGGGUAAAACUGGUGACUGGGGCU
rnacentral:rRNA from 1 species